GUGGUGGCGAUGCGCCUGGAGAGAGAGGCCGCACAGCCAGAGCCUUGAGCUGACAAAGAAAAUGAGUUAUUAAAACCAGAAGGAAACACGGAAACUGACAAGAACGCAGAAGCACGAAAAUUCACAAAAACCGUGUGUGUCUCCCCAAAACCAAGGUGGCUUUCCCUCCCGCUGCGUGAAGGAAGCUAAGAGCUCAGAGGAAGAAGCACACCAACCCCUUCCUCCUGUAACAGAAAGAAGACACUCAAAAUCUCAGUGGCAUCCAACAAACGUUUUUAUUCCUUGCUCGGGAGGGACAAGACUGAUCUCACCUGGAUCUGGUGAAGUGUCUACAGGCUACAGGACCCGAGAACUCAGAUGUCUGAUAAAGCCCAGCCCUGUCUGUGCUUGUGGAUCGAGUAGUUUGUGCGCUUCAAGACUUUGUUUAAAGCCAACAUUACAUGAAAAGCUAUAGGAAGGCUGAGGAGAAGGCAGCCAACCCAGCUGGGAAAUGCUGCCAAAGAUUUUACGCCGUCAAUUAUCACAAACGUGCCAUCAAGGAAAACUGCAGCAAUAAAGCAAUUACACAGGAAACGACUGGAAAACACGCUGCUUAUCUAGGCUGUUCAGGCUGAUUGGGUUGAUGUCCCACGCAAAUGCGCGAAGAGACUCUUAACUCUUUCCAGCUGUGUUUGAAGUAGCCCUCCAACGAGAAUAGAAGGCUCCUGGGGACGCCGAGUUAUUUCUAUAUGUCUGGACCUCCUAUUACACCCUGAAGAGUAUCUGGAACGCUGAAAACAAGGCUGUGAGACCAGCUCCGGGGGACACUGGGACCAAGCACCGUGAUCGCUUCCCAGCUCCUGCCUAAUGGUGGAUCCAGCGAACGAGUGGCAGCUCAGCAGCCCAUCUUCUCUGGGAAAAGGUCCUGACAGACAAGGCUGCAUUCCCAGUGCCCUGACUUCUUGGGGAAUCCACACUCCGGAGGGUCAAUGGCUCUUGCGAUGACAACAUUUGCUUCUGGGGCUGGGAGACGUGGAGCCUAUCAUUCUGAUCACCAUGAUCUUGACCUUCGGGUUAGCUCCCUCGUGUGGCUCCCCACAGUGCCCCGUGACCACCCAGCUGAGGUUCCUGCUGCCCCUCUCUGCUUCGAGCUCCUUGGCCCCAGUACCAACCCUGAGGUUCCUGGCACCCUCCCUGCUGCCUCUGCGUCUCACCCUGUCCUGUUCACAGUUCCGAAGCGCAGCGCGUUCCCACUCCCCCAACUCUGGGCACUUCACCUCUCUCCAAAACACUCCCGUUUCUCUGCGUGUGUAGUUCUUAGUUCUUCUGGCAAAUUCCCACCAGCACUUCGGAGCUCCAUUAAUACAUUUCCCUGUCUGUGAAUCCAGGGUUAAAACCUGGGGCCAUUCGUCACUCAGGUUUCUGCCCCCACAAAGGCACAUUCUCAGCCGAGAAGUCCUUGAGGGGAGACCUAUGUCUUAGGGAUAAUGAGGUGCUGAGCCCUCCGUACAAUAUUAGGCUUAAUUUUCUUUUAAAUGAGGCAAAGCUUACACAGAGUGAAACGCACGGGUCUUAAGUGCACGUUUUGAUGAUAUUUGUACUAAGACGCACGUUCAUGGACCAGCACCCUGGAGCGUCUGGAGGACGUUUCCUUCCUCCCAGAAUCUCCCUCAUGGCCCCAGCCGUCAGUGUGCAACCUGAUAAGCAACCACGGUUUGUAUUUCUAUCAGCAUAGUUAGACUUUCUCUGGUCUUGUACUUCACAUACAUGGACUCACACAGCAGGGAAUGUUAGACUUGGCUUCCUUUCCAUUUGUUUAGAAAACCAUGUUGCCCAUCGCAGCUAUCGGUAUUUCAUGGCUUCGCCGUGCUGAAUCGUAUUCUGAAGGAAUAGUAUAUGACAUGCCACACUCCGUGCAUCCAGUCUCCUGUCAGUGAGUUUGGGGGCUGAUUCCAACUCUGGGCUGCUAUGCGCAUCCCCACACAGAUGUGUUGGUGACAUAGCUUUUCACAUCUUCUAGAUACACACUGAGAGAAUGUGUCUUGGGCAACAGAGUAGGUAUGUGGUAUGUUUCACUUUAAUGAUGCAUUUAAUGAUGAUAUCUAUUUAAUUAUACAUUUCUCUGGCCAUUCUAUCACACGAUACCAAGGAUGCCUGCUAAUAGAAUACCUCAUCACUGAUGUCAGCCUGCUCACCUGGCUCAGGUGUGUGUCUCAGUUUCCCUACUAUAGUUACUCGUUUGCAUCCCCUUUUCCCGCAGUACCUUGUAGGGAAAGGCCACCGUGUGUGCCUCACCCUUACCAGUACCUGGUGUUUCACCUGCUGUACACGCCACUGCACACUUGGUGGUCCACCCCCCACCCCCGCCACCCAUCACUGGGGGAAGGCUGUCCUGAGCCUUCCCUGUUCGCACCUGUUUGACUUUGUCAUCUUCUGCUUGCAUCGACUGUCGUCAGCUUUGUCAAACUGCGUGCCCAUUGCUUUAACUGAGGCUGCUGCCUGCUGGCUCAUUUGAAAUACACUGACACGGGCAUGUUACUGGCAUCUUCAGUAAGGGGACCUGGGGCCCAGCUUUUACUGGCUUCCUGCCUUCAGAACAUAGCACACCAUUCUAACUAGUCUCUUACGUAACUGUCCUUCUCUUACAUGUGGAUCUUUUUAUCAAAGAUCACCUCCACCAAACAAAAGGGCAUGUGGGCCAAACUGGAAGGAUCUUACAAUGUCUCAAAAUGAGAUGAUCUGAGCAUGGAAGUGUGUAUUGACUGCAAUGAACUGAAGCACAUCCAGGAAAUCCACGUACUGGUUCCCUGAGCUGUGUCCUCCCAUGCUCACCUCUUACCGAGCACUAUGGCUACUCGAGGUUCUGGGAAUAAGAGUAAAAUGGGACACGGCCAUCCCUUUCCUAACAGCUCACAGUCUCAAGGUGCUCGUGAACCGGGCCGUCAGCUGUACCAGGGGACUGAGGACACUGGGGAGGUAACUGCAUCAUUUGCAUGCAGUUCGGUGUGUGUGCUUUUUAAAAUACAUUCAACAGAAAUAUUGCCCCGUGCCCUAGAAGAAUGCCAAGAAGUACGUGAUGGAUGCUUCAAUUUAGAAACCCACCAUCUGGUGAAAGCAGAGGCACGUAAACAAGUAACUGUACUCCACUGAUAGACAAA